UACAGAGGUCUCAAGCGUUGUUCGGAUUCAUUAGGCGUAAAGGGUGUGUAGGUGGCGCGCUAAGUCGGGUGUGAAAUUUCGGAGCUUAACUCCGAAACUGCAUUCGAUACUGGCGUGCUUGAGGACUGGAGAGGAGACUGGAAUUUACGGUGUAGCGGUGAAAUGCGUAGAUAUCGUAAGGAAGACCAGUGGCGAAGGCGGGUCUCUGGACAGUUCCUGACGCUGAGGCACGAAGGCCAGGGGAGCAAACGGG
rnacentral:rRNA from 1 species